rnacentral:rRNA from 1 species
UACGGAGGGAGCUAGCGUUGUUCGGAAAUACUGGGCGUAAAGCGCACGUAGGCGGCGCAGCAAGUCAGGGGUGAAAUCCCUGGGCUCAACCCAGGAACUGCGUCCGAUACUGGUUGGCUUGAAUCCGGGAGAGGGAUGUGGAAUUCCAGGUGUAGCGGUGAAAUGCGUAGAUAUCUGGAGGGACACCGGUGGCGAAGGCGACAUCCUGGACCGGCAUUGACGCUGAGGCGCGAAAGCCAGGGGAGCAAACGGG